rnacentral:rRNA from 1 species
GACGAACGCUGGCGGCGUGCUUAACACAUGCAAGUCGAACGGAAAGGCCCUGCUUUUGUGGGGUGCUCGAGUGGCGAACGGGUGAGUAACACGUGAGUAACCUGCCCUUGACUUUGGGAUAACUUCAGGAAACUGGGGCUAAUACCGGAUAGGAGCUCCUGCUGCAUGGUGGGGGUUGGAAAGUUUCGGCGGUUGGGGAUGGACUCGCGGCUUAUCAGCUUGUUGGUGGGGUAGUGGCUUACCAAGGCUUUGACGGGUAGCCGGCCUGAGAGGGUGACCGGCGACAUUGGGACUGAGAUACGGACCAGACUCCUACGGGAGGCAGCAGUGGGGAAUAUUGCACAAUGGGCGGAAGCCUGAGGCAGCAGCGCCGCGUGCGGGAAGACGGCCUUCGGGUUGUAAACCGCUUUCGCCUGUGACGAAGCGUGAGUGACGGUAAUGGGUAAAGAAGCACCGGCUAACUACGUG